CUGAUACCUUGUUUGCUUCAGUUUCCCCCUCCCCUCAUUCCCUUCUCCUUUUAAUUCACACAUCUGUUUUCAGUAUUUUAUUUUUCUGCCUAGCGGGUGGCUGACAUGGAAGAAAGGAGUUGGAAUUCCUGCUGCAGGGUGUAUAAGAUAAGGGUGAGAGUGAUGAUGCAAGAAUCAGAUUUUUCUGCCUUGUUGUCCUUUACAAGACACUUAAAGUUGCUGGAGGGUAUCCAUGUCCUGUUCUACAGCGGUUGCUCAGCUUCUUUCAUGCUCAAGUGCUAUCUCUUAAGUUUGCUGCUUCUUUUUUUGGCCUGGACAUGACUAAUUGAAAGUAUACAUAAUAGAAACUUUGAAAUGCACAUUUCAUUAUUAAAAAAUUCUGACCCUUCUGCCCACACAGGUAGCAAGUGGUACAUUUAGAUUCCACACAAAAUCAGAACCAUACUGACAGCCAAAAUUUCUUAAGGGUAAAAAGCUUUAUUUAAAACAAAGCACGUUUCAUUGGGGACCUUCUGGCAGAAAGUGCCAUGGGUGCAAUAAAUGAACCAUGAGCCCAUGAAAUCUAGAAGGUUGCUUCAGUAGACAUAGUUAUAUAAUACUUCAGAAACGGUAAGGGUGGCUUUUCCCCACACAUAAAAUGCAAUAAAAUCUUUGGUACAAUGUAUGGUAAAGUGAUUGUCAUAUUAAAGAUUUGAAAGCUUCAGACUUGUUUGUAGCUGUAGUAAACAGCUAUAUUUUCAUGGUCUUAUGCUUAGGAAACCUGGAAGAUGAUUUAUACUGAGUCAGAACAUUGGGCCAUCUAGCUCAGUAUUGUCUACUUGGGUCUGAUCCUGCUAGCUAGGGAUGAUGAGAAUUGUAGUCCAAUGACAACUGAAGACCAAACUUUGAUAGGAGAUUUACUCAGCCACUGCUGACCACCCAAAACUGAUUGCCUUAUUACUUCUUUUCUUGUCAUCUGCCUGCUUGCUCUGCCCCAGAAGGGGGAAAAACAGCAAACAAUGAAGUAAGUAGAAAGAACACCAGGUGCCAUUGGCUGGGAAGUGAUGGUGGUUGGACCCAGAGGCAAGAAACAAUAUUGUUCAGUUGGCAGAAGGGAGGAGAGAGGAGAGAGAGGGGCCCACUGGUGGCUUCUUGCCAAACUUCCCCACACCCUCAACCUGGAGCCCAGCACGGCCAGCAAGAAAACAAGAAUAAAUCCAAAUCACAAAGUAGCAUACAGUAUGGAACAAGCUGCUUCCAGACGGGCAGUCACACGACUGCUCUUCCAUGAGGGUAAUUAUAUCUUCAUGACUUCAGCAAUAUGCCCCAAGAAUGGAUUCUAGGGCUGAAAAGAAUGGAAUUCUGCAGCUUAAUUGAAAGAAUAUGCAGUAUUAAUUGGAAGCUUGUCAAUCUCUACGGAUUUGACUACCAUCGGAAAUGGUAGUGUCCACAAUUGCUUUUUGAUGACAUGCAAGUGUUGCUGUCACAAUGUACCAGUGUCUGUUUAGCAAUGCAGCAGGCUGGAUCCUUUCCUCCCUUCCCCUCUGUGCCAGAUACCCAACUUUGACAGGCUGGGUGGGCUGCCCAUUGGACAAUCACAAUACAUCAUUAUGAUGUAAGGUGUCAGCUUCACAGGGGGCCUCUUUGAAGGUGGGCAGUGUGCCUUGAAGAGACUUCUUGUAACCACCGCUCAGCCUGCUUUGCAACAGUUCACCUGAAGCUUCCAGUCGUUCCUUUGGAGCUCCAUCCUUACCUGCUGCAUGCCUGAUGUCACAUGUGAUGCCUGUGAGGGGGAAGUGGGUGUGGUUUGGAGAAAACAGAAUUGCAGGACAAAUUGGGACACAUACUGGAUCUAAUUAGGCCCAGGGACCAGAGGUUCUCCACCCCCGAGUUCUGAACUUUAUGGAUUUAAUGAUUUUACAGAUAAAUCAGAAUUAAACAGGGAUUUGGAAGUUUGCUAUAUGGUUUUUGGCAAAGUGGCAUGCUUUAUUUUCAAACAGUGUUCUACACGAGUGAGGGAGUAGCAGUUGCUGUCAGUUGGACACCAGACACCAGGUGUCAGUUUCUGAAUGAAGGGCCUGGUGGGAAUGUGUGGGGCUGGCCAUGUGAUAACAACAUCCACUGGUCCAUUCACAUAUUCAGACUGGAGAGUUGCUGCUAGUCAGUGUAAAUACUGAGCUAGAUGAACUGAUUUGGUAUAAGGCAGUGUUUCUGUGGCCCUCCAGAUGAACGAUGGUCUCCAACUCUCAUCAUCCCUGACCAUUGGCUAUGCUGGCUGAGGCUGAUGGGAGAUGAAGGCCCAUAGGUUCCCAUAGUAGUGUUGGAUUUUCAGCAAAAUGUCUGGAUAUUUUGCUACAGUAUAUUUUCCAAAGCGCUUUACUUCAAAAUGAUAUUGCUAUAGUUGUACAUUUAUCUUUAAAUCCAACAGUUAUAAUUACCACAUCUGAAAUGCCCCAUUUCCAGCUGCUGCAACAAAGGUUCAAAGUGUUACAUUCUUUACUGAGCUGUCGGAGGGAGAGUCUUUUAAUGAAGGGCACAUUUUUAGUGCAAAGGCCACUGCCCUCUCAGAUAAAAGUGCAUUUUGAAGAAUGUCAAGAGAUUACAGGAGGCAGAAAGGACAUGCUGAGAUGCUGUCUUGCAUCUGCUAUUUUGAGAAUGUAAUGUUGUUGUGUUUCAGCUGUAAUUGAAGAUAAAGUUGCAAAAGCAAAGUUGUAACACAUGUGGGAAAGCUCCCAAUGUAAGAACAUGCCUUCAGUUGGUGCCUUGCCUAGUGAAAUUAGGCAUGAUUUUGUGCACUUAGUCUUAAAUAUUCAAACAACUACAUAGAUUAUGGUUUAUGAGGUUGUCUGCGCUGUCUCAUAAAAAAAUCCAAUAUAAGUUGACUACAGGAGAACAUGCAGGAAAACGGAUUAAAAAUUGAUCUUGGCAUUUAGAUGUAAAAUGCCUUAAUGUUUCCUACAUGCCCUGUGAUAUGUCUUGUGCACAGUUGCAUGAAUAAUUUUGACACAUCAGAGCAGGUAGUUCAUCAGAUGUUGCUGGAUUGCAAUGCCCAUCAUGAUGGGAGUUGGAGUUCAACAACAUCUGGGGGGUGGGUCACAAGUUCCUCAUCCCUGUGAAGGGGACAUUCAGGAGCCAAAAGAAAGUCUCUAAAUGCCUGGACUCAAAAGGUUGUCAUCUCUCUCAAUGGUUGAGGCUGCUUAAUACCUCUUUUCUAGAGUGUGAACUCCUUAAUUGCUGCUUGAGGCUAGUUUCACAUCCAUGUUAACUUUAACCAUAGUCAGCAGCCAUCACUGCUGACCUGAUAAUUAACCAUGAGCAAGUUUUUUGGGGGAAGAAGUGCUCUGCUCUGGAAAGAAGUGUGCAAUGCUGCAAUCAGCACCUAAAUGCUAAACCACAGUUACGUUUUUGGUAAUAUAACAUCUGCACUAUCCCACAAAUGUGAAAGACUUGAUAAAUCUGGCAAUAUGUUGCUGGGAAGGUAAGCAGAAAUAUUUAUAUAUAGCAUUUAGCAUUUAUUGGGGGAAAAUGCAUUUUAGUAACACCUGUAAUGAGAAACAAAUUACUUUUUAACUUUUGUGAGGAUGCUCUUCAGAGACAGAGAGUGACAGAGUAUGUGAUAUACAGUGCUGCUUUACAGAUAUUGUUGUAAGACCUGCAACUUUUAAUAAUUGGAGCCAGAAUUUCUUUUAGCCCCUCCUCCCUCCCUCCCUGCUUUUCCUUUUGUGCUAUGUUUUUUGGAUUGCAUGCUUGAGGGCAGGAUUUGUUAAUGAUUUAUAAGCCAUUCUGGGAGCCUUUUCAGCUGAAAAGCAAGGUAAAAAUGCUUUAAGAAACACAAUGUACCAGCCUGUGAAUGCACAUGACAUCCAAUACUGACAUGUUGCAUGGUACAGUAGAUAUGGGUUCCUAAUAAUUGUAUGCUUCCUGGAGCUGCUUAUUAUAUGUGCAAAAACUUGUAAUUAGUGGUCAUCAGCUAAAAUCUUGAGACUUGGGGAAAGUGAGGUUUGAUCAUAGAAUGAGAAUGUCAAACAUGCCUACAUGCACCCCAUGUGUGUGUUCUCAGUUUGGAGAUUAAAUAUGAUUUGCUGCUUUUUCCAUAAACGGUUCAGGACAGUGGUUGCGUAUUUAUGAUUUUAUUCUUCUGUUUAUGAAAGUUUAUGUUGUGUCAAAAUGUUUUACCAGCACUUGUCACUAUAGUAGAAAAGCAUAUGUUUGCAAAAUAUGUGGGUAGACAUUCUGAAAGUUGAGAUGGUUAAUCAGGGUUUAUCUAUGCACAGUAUGCAGAUAGAAAUUUCAAAGCCAGGGUGGUUAACUUGUGCAUGUGAUAUUUAAAACUCACAUUUUCAUAUAUUUUUGAAGAACCCUUAAGUGUUAUGAACCCCUAGUUUGCUUUCCCCCCCCCCUUACAGUCAGACAUUCUGCUCUCUCUUUUAAUAAACUGGUGAUGGAUUAUCUCACUGAGCACGUUUGUUCUGUAGUAGUUCAUUUUAAAACUAAUGGCCUUGUUAGGAGAAGAAAAUGAGAGAGUCUAUCAAAAUAAAUUUCCAGGGCUGACUAAGCACCUUCUCUCUCACUUUUAAAACCUGUUUAGUACAGCUUGUUAAUCAACAUGGUGUUCGGUCAUUAGCACUAAGUUGUACUUGUUAAUACCUUCUCGAGUCCCAGUUUGCAGUAUUCUGCGAUAACUAGAUUUCUGUCAUAUUACUGAACUUAAAUAGGCUUGAAAACAAUAAAGUUAAAGAGGGCGACAGGAGGCCUUAAUAGGUAAUGGAAAAUAUGUGUUUGGAAUACUUGGGAUGAAUAGAUGCAAUGCUAUCUUCCAAAUGGCAAAGCUGUUUUCUGCAUUUACCUUUCUACAAACCAUUUAGAUUAGUUCUCUCCACUCUUUUUUUUAAACCCAUUUACCUAUAAACUCUUACAGCUUAAGAGUUACUGGCUUAAUAUGGAGAUAGGUAAAGGUAAAGGGGCCCCUGACCAUCAGGUCCAGUCGUGUCCGACUCUGGGGUUGCGGCGCUCAUCUCGCUCUAUAGGCCGAGGGAGCCGGCGUUUGUCCGCAGACAGCUUCCGGAUCAUGUGGCCAGCAUGACAAAGCUGCUUCUGGCGAACCAGAGCAGCACACGGAAACGCCGUUUACCUUCCCGCCAAAGCGGUCCCUAUUUAUCUACUUGCACUUUGAUGUGCUUUCGAACUGCUAGGUUGGCAGGAGCUGGGACCAAGCAGCGGGAGCUCACCCCGUUGCAGGGAUUCGAACCGCCGACCUUCUGAUCAGCAAGCCCUAGACUCUGUGGUUUAACCCACAGAGCCACCUUCUUAUGGAGAUACCUUCUUAUUAUUAUUAUUCUUUUUUUUUUGCAUGGGUGGCUACAUAAGGACAUGCAUUUUUGGCUACAUACAGAUCAGCGCUCAGAGAACUGAGGUCACUGUAUGUCCAUUAGCAUUGUGGGGCACUUUAAAAAAAAAAAACCAGCCUUGAAGAAUGGUAAAUUUUCCUGCUCUAAUGAUGAGUGGUAUCUAAAACAGCAGACCCGGGCCUCUCCAGAUACUGUUGAACUGAAGCUCCUGUCUGCCCCAGCCAGCACAGCCAAUGGUCAAGGGUGAUGGGAAUGGUAGGCUAGCAUUAUCUGGUAAUCUCAGUAGCUGACUGGUUAGUUGUUUUCAUUGCAAAUGCAAAGUAAACUAGUGAAGAAUUGUUCAUAUCAUUUAUCUUGUUGAGAUAACCUUUGAAUUCUUGACCUUCAUGUAAUAAUAUUUAGUUUAUGUAAAUAUGUGUGUUUGAAGAUAAUAUCAUGGCUGUGAAAGAGCACUACUGAAAGGUCCUAAUCAGGACCUUCGUCAUCUUUUUUUCAUUAUUGCAUGGCCUAAUAGGCAUAACGUUAUGACCUACAGGCCUUGAAAUCUAAUUUGAGACAAUAAGUGUUGAGUAAAUAAGUCAAUGAUGGGAGUGCUGAGGCAGAGGACAUAAUGAGGGCAACAUCAAAUUCUACUUCAAAAAAUAAUUACUCAGACAACAUCAUAGAAAAGAGAUGGAGGAAAUAGUAAAAUCAUUACACAUUUUUCUCAUGUAAUGCUCCACAGAAUCUGAGGGUCUGCCGACGUAAAUAUUGAUUUUUGAAACUCUAUCCCUUUUGGCUGUUCAGCAUGUAAUUUGUAUUACCUUAUUAUGUUUUGCUGCUGAGACAGCAUUCAUUGAUGUUUUACAAUGGUAAAUAUAGCAACAAUACAUUCUGGCUAUAUCAUUGCACUGAACCUCUUUUCAUUAAACUGGUAGCUUUCUAACACAUAAGCAAUUUUGGCUAUGAGUAACCAAGAAACCUAUUGUUGCCUUUUUGAAGCUCCACCCAUGGCUGGCUGGAUACACAAACACGCACACAGGCAUGAAACUAGGCUUUAAUUAGAGUAGACCCAUUAAAAUUAAUGGACCUAACUUAGUCAUUCAUUGUAAUUAGUUUACUUGAUGAGUAAAAUGUAGUUGUAUCCUACAAGCAUAAAGAGUCCAGGAUGCUGUAUUAUAUCAAUCGUUCAGCCCCUGUGGGUCAUAAACAAGUGUAUGAAAGUUGGACAGUAGAGGAAUUGGUAGAGCUCACUUUAGGCAUGUAAGCAAUAUUUAUCCCUUAUACAUUUUAGAAGACAGGAUAGGUUAUGAAACUGUGCUCUCUGACCUUGCCUCAGGUUGUAAUCCCAUGUACACAUACUUGAGAAUUAGUAUGGUUUACUUGGUGUGAUUUACUUUCGAGUAAAGGUGAAUAGGAUUGGACUGUUAACCAUUGUUAAAGGUUAUGUUGGCACUGUAGUUGAUAAAAAACCACAUGGUGAUUGCUAAUCAGGGUUUGUUCUUUUCUGCACAGGAGGCACCAGUUUCACAUGGUAAAAUGUUGCUUUCAUAGGCUCUGUAAAGUGACUGCUUAACACAUGAACAGAAUGUGACUAUUUGAAUCUGCGCCCCCAGCAUAGAAAAUUUCUAAUUCAGCAAUUAGUUCUGGUGAUUUAGUUAUGGCAUACCCAAUAUCUAUAUAAAUAUAAUGUCCUGGUUUUAAAGAAAUAUCUGUAGGUUAAAAGUUUUUAUCUUAAAGCUGUUGCAGACCUAGAAACCAUUUUUUUCCACUAAGGUAUAAUCUUUUCUAAGCUUGCUGUCUUGGAAUGCAAAAUAAACUCAGUGUACAGUCAUACCUUGGGUUACAAACACUGCAGGUUUUGCGUUUUCAGGUUGCGGACCGCGCCGAACCCGGAAGUACCGGAAUGGGUUACUUCCGGGUUUCGGCGCAUGUGCAGAAGCACAAAUUUGUGUCACACACAUGCACAGACAUGGCGUUUCAGGCUGUGAACACUGCGGGUUGCGAACGUCCCUCCCGCACAGAUCACGUUCUCAACCAGAGGUAUGACUGUAUAUAUUUGAGGAGUCCACCUUAAUUGAUGCAGUGGAGUUAAGUCAACUUUUAAUAGUGUUAAGCUGCUAUUACAUUCAAGAUGGCUAGGGUUGGGGUGAGUGAGUGGAGAAAGACAUUACUGCACUAUAGAGGACUCUCAAGUGAAGUUCUCUUCAUGGUCAUGUGCUGUGAAAACAUCAAAUAUUUACAUGAGUGGAACUGCAUCAGCUGGAUAAUCUGGUUUCGAUUUCAAGAGGUGAUCUGGUUUUCUUGUUCAGAAAAUAGCUCCAUUAAGAAUUCAUGGUGAUUGGGCGUUCAAAGAGGAGGGAGUGGUUAAUAUUCUUGAUUUGUAUAACUAACACACAAGCAUACCUCAUUUGUAUUAGGUAUUGUGCAGUGGCAGUUUCCUGGCAAAGCAAACACUUCACCACUUCUCUAGUCAAAUAUUGAAGUAUUUAAAGCAUUUGUUUUACAAAAGAACAGAGAUAAGUGCCCUAAUUUCAGAAACCCUUGACGUGCAGAAUAUUCCAGUCUCCUCAGCACCUUCACAGAGCAACCAUGGUAGAUUAUAAGGAAGCCCUGACUCCCUCAGCUAAUACUGUUGGUGCAGGGUGAAUGCAGCUGUGGUCACUAGGAUGUGGCCUGGAGCAAGCUGUUCUUCUACUGAGUUUGAGACAAUUUGGGUCCUACUCUAGCAUUACUAGCUUUUCUGUAAGCCUGUGAGAUGCCAGACUUGCACACUUUUUGAAUGCAGUGUAGCAUAUUCGUGCUAGCCAUCUUUUCUUUUUACCACUCCAAUAUGACUAGUGCCUUUAUACCCAUGCUCAUAUGGUAUAUGCAAACUAGCAUUAAUUGGAAAGAUAGCCCUCUUGGAACUCUGGGGUUUGCAUCUACAGAUUGCAGCUUCUGAUUAGCAAGCAUUCCUAUCUCUGUUCCAGUCUGCCUGCAUUCAUUUGUUUCAUGCUGCUUUUACAAAAACUGUGCCCAGUUCAGAUUUAAUAGUUACAGAACACGAUCAUUAGGAGGAGCUGGUUUAUGUGACUUAAUCGUGGAUGGCUUAAUUUCCCAUUUUCUUUGGCUUAAUUUCCCAUUUUCUUUUAAAUUUCAGUGCUGUUGUACUGUUGAAUGAUGAUGUUUUUUGAUGCCUGCUUUUUUAGUUUGUGUGUGUGUGUGUGUGUAAUUGUCAUACGGGCAAGAAUUUGCAGGAGGAGAGUGCUCCCCCCCC